ensembl:snRNA U4 U4 spliceosomal RNA
ACCAAUGAGGAGCGAUUAUUGCUCAGAUUAUUAUCUGAGGAGCGAUUAUUGCUAAUUGAAAACUUUUCACUGUACCCCGCCGUGAUGACUUGCAAUACAGCUGGCACUGGCAAUUUUUGACAGUCUCUAUGGAGA